GUGCACGCUGGCGGUAGGCCUAACACCUGCAAGUCGAACGGCAGCACAGUAAGCGCUUGCUCUUACGGGUGGCGAGUGGCGGACGGGUGAGGAAUACAUCGGAAUCUACUUUUUCGUGGGGGAUAACGUAGGGAAACUUACGCUAAUACCGCAUACGACCUACGGGUGAAAGCAGGGGAUCUUCGGACCUUGCGCGAUUGAAUGAGCCGAUGUCGGAUUAGCUAGUUGGCGGGGUAAAGGCCCACCAAGGCGACGAUCCGUAGCUGGUCUGAGAGGAUGAUCAGCCACACUGGAACUGAGACACGGUCCAGACUCCUACGGGAGGCAGCAGUGGGGAAUAUUGGACAAUGGGCGCAAGCCUGAUCCAGCCAUACCGCGUGGGUGAAGAAGGCCUUCGGGUUGUAAAGCCCUUUUGUUGGGAAAGAAAAGCAGCAGGUUAAUACCCCGCUGUUCGGACGGUACCCAAAGAAUAAGCACCGGCUAACUUCGU
rnacentral:rRNA from 1 species